rnacentral:rRNA from 1 species
AUACGGAGGAUCCAAGCGUUAUCCGGAUUUAUUGGGUUUAAAGGGUGCGCAGGCGGCCUUAUAAGUCAGUGGUGAAAUCUCCCGGCUCAACCGGGAAACUGCCAUUGAUACUGUAAGGCUAGAAUACAGACGAGGUAGGCGGAAUGUAGCAUGUAGCGGUGAAAUGCUUAGAUAUGCUACAGAACACCAAUCGCGAAGGCAGCUUACCAGACUGUAAUUGACGCUAAGGCACGAAAGCGUGGGGAGCGAACAGGAUUAGAAACCCUUGUAGUCC